AGACAUCGAUAAUUCUUGCAGCCUAACGAUAUUCAUCCCUAGCAUCACGUCUGUCAUAUCGCGUUUCGCAUGGAAAUAUCUUGAAAUAAACAACAAACCAACAGAGGAAUGGCAUUGCAACCCGGAUUGUGCUGACAAAAAACACAUGCAACAGAAUAAAAGACCCUGUGCAUCGUGAAACAACACAACGACGAGAAACAGAAGAAAAGCAGUGUUCAUCCAUAUAAUCGCGUUGCUUGAUGGGCCUUUUCGCUAAGAUAGGAUUCGGCCAACACCACAGACUCUCUUCUCUCAACCCAUAGUAUAGACGCAGGUAACGACUUUGCAAUACUCUGGCGGCAGCUCGCACGCACCGUAAUAGGGCUGCCAAUUUCACCCCCCCCCCCCUACAACUUCAUCGCUUUUCUGCUACUUUACCACUACCUCUGCCUUAUACCGCCCUGUACACUUCCGCACUCUGUGCUGUACUGGUAACUCAGUACCGGAUCCCGUGAUCGCUCACGCUCAGGCUCAUCUCCUCCGCAC